UACAGAGAGUGCGAACGUUGUUCGGAAUUACUGGGCUUAAAGAGCACGUGGGCGGCAUCGUAAGUGUCAGGUGAAAUCCCACGGCUCACCCGUGGAACUGCCUGGCAGACUGCGAUGCUCGAGUGUGGUAGGGGAGAACGGAACUCCUGGUGGAGCGGUGAAAUGCGUAGAUAUCGUGAGGAAGACCAGUUGCGAAGGCGACUCUCUGGGCAUUUCCUGACGCUCAUGCACGAAGGCCA
rnacentral:rRNA from 1 species